rnacentral:rRNA from 1 species
AAUAGAUACCCGGGUAGUCCAUGCCGUAAACGUUGGGCACUAGGUGUGGGGCUCAUUCCACGAGUUCCGUGCCGCAGCAAACGCAUUAAGUGCCCCGCCUGGGGAGUACGGCCGCAAGGCUAAAACUCAAAGGAAUUGACGGGGGCCCGCACAAGCGGCGGAGCAUGCGGAUUAAUUCGAUGCAACGCGAAGAACCUUACCAAGGCUUGACAUGCACGGGAAGCCACCAGAGAUGGUGGUCUCUUUGGACACUCGUGCACAGGUGGUGCAUGGUUGUCGUCAGCUCGUGUCGUGAGAUGUUGGGUUAAGUCCCGCAACGAGCGCAACCCUCGUCCCAUGUUGCCAGCGGGUUAUGCCGGGGACUCAUGGGGAGACUGCCGGGGUCAACUCGGAGGAAGGUGGGGAUGACGUCAAAUCAUCAUGCCCCUUAUGCCUUGGGCUUCACGCAUGCUACAAUGGCCGGUACAAAGGGCUGCGAUACCGUAAGGUGGAGCGAAUCCCGAAAAAGCCGGUCUCAGUUCGGAUUGGGGU